rnacentral:rRNA from 1 species
GCUACAUGCGGUAUAUGUGGCUGUGAAGAGGAAGAUGAGUUCCAUGCGGUGGUCGCUUGCACUAAGAGUAGAGCACUAAGAUAUGAAAUGAGAAAGGAGUGGGAUCUCCCCCCGGAAUGCGCCUUCCAGAAAACUGGUCCAGACUGGCUGCAGGUGCUCCUAGAUAAAAUCCCGGAAGACAUGCGUGCAAGGGUGCUCAUGCUGCUGUGGAGAGGAUGGCACUUGCGCGACAAUUGUGUCCAUGGGAAAGGC